AAACUCCUCUUAACGGCCGCGGCACUAAAACCGUGCAAAGGUAGCACAAUCACUUGUCCCUUAAAUGAGGACCCGUAUGAAAGGCAACAUGAGAGAAGACCUGUCUCCUGAGGCCAGCCAAUGAAAUUGAACUACCAGUACAAAAGCUGGUAUUUACAAGCAAGACAAAAAGACCCUAUGGAACUUUAACAAAUUAUUUAUAUGACAUUAAAUGAUAGUUUCAGUUGGGACAACCUUAGAGAAAAUUAACCUCUUAAUAACA
rnacentral:rRNA from 1 species